AGGUACCGUCGGUCCAUAGGACUAUUAAUCCUACAGACUAUCUUCCCUCCCGACAGUGCUUUACGACCCAAGGCCUUCAUCACACACACGGCGUGGCUGCGUCAGGCUUUCGCCCAUUGCGCAAUAUUCCCCA
rnacentral:rRNA from 1 species